rnacentral:rRNA from 1 species
AGGGCACAUGGUGGAUGUCUUGGCGUUAAGAGGCGAUGAAGGACGUUGGAACCUGCGAUAAGCCUAGAGGAGCUGGUAACCGAGCUUUGAUCCUAGGAUCUCCGAAUGGGGCAACCCGACCGUAAGGUCAUUCUGUCCUGAAUGUAUAGGGACAGUAAAGCAAACCCAGCGAACUGAAACAUCUCAGUAGCUGGAGGAAAGGAAAGCAACCGCGACUCCGCAAGUAGCGCCGAGCGAAAGUGGACGAACCAGUACCGUGUUGAGUGAUCUGGAAAGAUCAGCCACAGAAGGUGACAGCCCUGUAGGCACGUACCUGGGAAAUGGCUUCAAGUAGAGUCAGGCUCGAGAAACCUGGCUUGAACAUGGGGGGACCACCCUCCAAGCCUGAGUACUCCUUAACGACCGAUAGUGAACCAGUAAGGCGACUGAACGAUGAAAAGUACCCCGAUAAGGGGAGUUAAAAGUACCUGAAACCAUGUGCUUACACAGCGGUCACGGCCCUUUGGGGUUGUGGCGUGCCUUUUGCAUAAUGAUCUGGCGAGUUAUUUUUUACGGCAAGGCUAAGCUGUUACGCAGCGGAGCCGAAGGGAAACCGAGUCUGACAAGGGCGAUUAGUCGUAGGAGAUAGGCGCGAAACCGGUUGAUCUACCCAUGGGCAGGUUGAAGGUGGGGUAAAACCCGCUGGAGGACCGAAGCCGUGAACGUUGAAAAGUUCUGGCAUGACCUGUGGGGAGGGCUUACAGUGCAAUCAUAACCGGAGAUAUCUCGUUCUCCCCGAAAUAGUUUUGGGACUAGCCUCGAGGGCCACCACAUGGGGGUAGAGCUACUGAAUGGACUUUGGGGGCCUACCCGGCUACCCGGUCCAAUCAAACUCCGAAUACCAUGUGCUUUUGCCUCGGGAGUAAGUCCGCGAGCGAUAAUGUUCGCGGUCAAAAGGGAAACAACCCAGACCAUCGGAUAAGGUCCCUAAUCAAAUCUAAGUUCUUAAGGUAGUCAGAUUGCUGUGACAGCUAGGAUGUUGGCUUAGAAGCAGCCACCAUUUAAAAAAUGCGUAACAGCUUACUAGUCGAGGAAUCUGGCGCCGAUAAUUAUCGGGAAUCAAGAUUUGUACCGAAUCCAUGGCAAUGCGGCAUUUAUGCCGUAUUGGGUAGGGGAGCGUCGCUAUUUAGCUGUGAAGCUGUUCCGCGAGGGACGGUGGAGCAAUAGCAAGUGAAUAUGCCAGAUUGAGUAACGAUAAAGGGAGUGAGAAUCUCCCUCGCCGAAAAUCCAAGGUUUCCCGGGGUAGGUAAUUCCGCCCGGGGUUAGGCGACACCUAAGGCGAGGCUGAAAAGCGUAGUCGAUGGACAGCAGGUCAAUAUUCCUGCCCUUGUAUGUAAGGUUCGAAGCUGACGUGACGGAUCUUGAAGCUCACACGGCACUGUGAAGUGUGCAGGCCCUUGUGGCUGAAGUGGGGUGGAUAGGUUCCAAGAAAAAACGCACAGAUACAAACAUACGAGUCGUACCAAAACUGACACAGGUGGGUGUGGCGAAUAGCCUCAGGCGCUCGAGAAAACGGUCGUGAAGGAACUAGGCAAAUUGACCCCGUAAGUUCGCGAUAAGGGGGCCCUCCUCGCAAGAGAGGGCGCAGAGAAAAGGCUCUGGGAACUGUUUAUCAAAAACACAGCACUGUGCGAACUCGCAAGAGGACGUAUACAGUGUGACGCUUGCCCGGUGCCGGAACGUCAAAGGAGCUGGUUAGCAGUAAUGCGAAGCUAGCGACUGAAGCGCCGGUAAACGGCGGCCGUAACUAUGACGGUCCUAAGGUAGCGAAGUUCCUUGUCGGGUAAGUUCCGACGCGCAUGAAUAGCGUAAUCACUGGAGCACUGUCUCCACGACCGACUCGGUGAAAUAGUAGUGGCGGUGAAGAUGCCGCCUACCUGCAGCAAGACGGAAAGACCCCGUGGACCUUUACUGUACGCUUGCAGUGGUCAUGGAUUUGUUCUGCGUAGAAUAGGUGGGAGCCUUUGAAGCUAAGCUUUCGGGUUUGGCUGAGGCAUUAGUGAAAUACCACUCUGAAUGAAUUCGUGGCCUAACCCCGACUCCCGUGAAUCCGGGCGGGGAACACUGCAUGCCGGGCAGUUUGACUGGGGCGGUCUCCUCCAAAAGUGUAACGGAGGAGUGCAAAGGUUGGCUCAGCGCGGUUGGCAACCGCGCCUAGAGUGCAAAGGCACAAGCCAGCUUUAGUGCGAGCGAAACAGCGCAAGCACUCACGAAAGUGGGCCUUAGUGAUCCGGCGAUUCCGUGUGGAAGGGUCGUCGCUCAACGGAUAAAAGGUACCCCGGGGAUAACAGGCUGAUCGCUCCCGAGCGUCCAUAGCGGCGGAGCGGUUUGGCACCUCGAUGUCGGCUCUUCGCAUCCUGGGGCUGAAGGCGGUCCCAAGGGUUGGGCUGUUCGCCCAUUAAAGCGGAACGCGAGCUGGGUUCAGACCGGCGUGAGCCAGGUCGGUCCCUAUCUGCUGUAGGCGCAGGAAUGUUGAGAGGAGACUUCCCUAGUACGAGAGGAUUGGGAAGGACGUACCCCUGGUGUGCCAGUUGGACCACUCGGUCCAUAGCUGGGUAGCUAAGUGCGGCAGGGAUAAUCGCUGAAAGCAUCUAAGCGAGAAGCCCCCCUCAAGAUAAACAUUCCAUGUCGCAAGACGAAAGACCCCUUGUAGACCACAAGGUUGAUCGGCCGCACGUGUAAUCGGAGAAAUCCGUUCAGCGAAGCGGUACGAACGGUCGAUCGUUUGGCCA